rnacentral:snoRNA from 1 species
GCAUAGGUUUGGAUUGAUGGCAGACCCAACCCCAUGGGGCCUCUUAUAGUGUCCCAUGUCAGAGCGAACUGUAACCAUGAACCAUUGCCCGGCUCUCUCAAAGGCAUCGGGCACUGAAGUGGGUUACACAGUG